AACCCGGCUCUUUUAAGAGCCACCAAAUCUAUGAAAGAAUAUGAG
rnacentral:ncRNA from 1 species